AAUUGGAGGGCAAGUCUGGUGCCAGCAGCCGCGGUAAUUCCAGCUCCAAUAGCGUAUAUUAAAGUUGUUGCAGUUAAAAAGCUCGUAGUUGAAUUUCGGGAUCAAUAUUUCGGUCAUGCCGUUGGUAUGCACUGUUAUCAUUGAUUUCUCACCUUCUAAAGAACCGUAAUGCCAUUAAUUUGGUGUUACGGGGAAUUAGGACUGUUACCUUAAAAAAAUUAGAGUGUUUAAAGCAGGCUCACGCUUGAAUACAUUAGCAUGGAAUAAUGAAAUAGGACAUCCGAUUCUAUUUUGUUGGUUUCUAGGAUCGAUGUAAUGAUUAAUAGGGAUAGUUGGGGGCAUUAGUAUUCAAUUGUCAGAGGUGAAAUUCUUGGAUUUAUUGAAGACUAACUACUGCGAAAGCAUUUGCCAAGGAUGUUUUCAUUAAUCAAGAACGAAAGUUAGGGGAUCGAAGACGAUCAGAUACCGUCGUAGUCUUAACCAUAAACUAUGCCGACUAGGGAUCGGAUGAUGUUAAUUUUUUAAUGACUCAUUCGGCGCCUUACGGGAAACCAAAGUGU
rnacentral:rRNA from 1 species